AUGUUGAUGGAAGGGGUAAUAUGCAUCACAGAAAAUUUGAAACAACGGAAAAUUUACACCACUUUUUGGCCACCAUUUGGUAAACUUAUAGAUUUGCUUUUGGUAUCAAUGCGUGUUUUUAUGACCAUGGCAAUCUUUCUUUCUUUUUGCAUCUUGUCAAAAUUAUUUUCUUAUGCGACUAUGGCAAAUUUAGUUUUAUGGUCACGGCAAUUUUUUCUAUGCAUCAUGGCAUUUUUUGGUGUGCAGACCAUGGCAAUUUUCUUGCGCCCACGACAGUUUAUAUUUGAACAAAUUUCAAAAUUUCAUACAAACCAUGGCAAUUCAUUUCCUGUUGCACGGCAACUUUUUCUACUUUUGUACAUCAUGGAAUUUUUUGCUCGUUGCCAUCUAUCAUGCCGUUUUUAA
rnacentral:rRNA from 1 species